CAGUCACACGAGUUUGAUCCUGGCUCAGAUUGAACGCUGGCGGCAGGCUUAACACAUGCAAGUCGAGCGGAGACUUCGGUCUUAGCGGCGAACGGGUGAGUAAUACCUAGGAAUCUGCCUAUUAGUGGGGGAUAACGAAUCGAAAGGUUCGCUAAUACCGCAUACGUCCUACGGGAGAAAGGGGGGAGUCUUCGGACCUCUCGCUAAUAGAUGAGCCUAGGCCGGAUUAGCUAGUUGGUAGGGUAAAGGCCUACCAAGGCGACGAUCUGUAGCUGGUCUGAGAGGAUGGCCAGCCACACUGGAACUGAGACACGGUCCAGACUCCUACGGGAGGCAGCAGUGGGGAAUAUUGGACAAUGGGGGCAACCCUGAUCCAGCAACGCCGCGUGAAUGAAGAAGGCCUUAGGGUUGUAAAGUUCUUUUGUCAGGGAAGAAAGGCUUGUGCUAAUAUCAUAAGCUGCUGACGGUACCUGAAGAAUAAGCACCGGCUAACUACGUG
rnacentral:rRNA from 1 species